UAUCAAUGGUUUUGGACUUUUCGUGAAAAAUCUCUGUUAAUAAGGAUUAAAAUGAUAAAAAUACCCUUAAUUUAAUAAAUAAGGACAAAAUGACUUGACAAAACUCGAGAAUAUUUUUUUAUUUGAUCCUAUUUAACGAAGAUUUUUUACAAAUUAUUUAAAAUAAUGGUGAAAAAAAUCAAAACUAAUUAUAUUGAUUUUUAACCUCAAAAAAAAAAAAACAAAAUAAAGAGAUACUUAAAAAUUAUUUUGAUUAAAAAGUCUAUUUUCGUUGAGUGAAUAAAAUACGAAAUUAAGAAUUAAAAAAGGGAACUGUUAUUAGCACUUUAAGAAGACAUUUGUUUGCCCUCAUUAAGUGAGAUUGGACUAGACUGGAUUAUGUGUUAGUGUAGUUCAUGUUUGUUAGAGGAAGGGAGACAUUUUGCGAGGCUUGACAUGUUAUUGGCAUGCCAUUUUGCGACGCUUGGCAUGUCAUUGGCAUGCCAUGGUCGACAUUUUGCGAGGCUUGGCAACGAUCAAAUACCGUCCUAGUCUCAACCAUAAACGAUACCGACCAGGGAUCGGCAUAUGUUACUUUUAGGACUCUGCCGGCCAACAACCCACGAAAUAUGUUCACAUGACUUGGGACCCCAAUAUAAGACGGUCCACUUUUGCCAUUCAUUAAUCGUCCAACAACCACGAACUGUAACUAGCUUCAGUGGGAUUAAACUCACUCGACUACGGGGCUCGCUAGAUAGUCUUAGCGAGACCCCCAAAUACCACUGGAUUGCUAAGACCAUUCUUUUCUCUCGCGUUGUUCCACUCGACUCCUUGCUCUGCUCGACUCCUCAUCUUGCUUGACAACCUUGCUGGACCAUCUCAGGACCACCGCCUGUGUCCUCGUAAAUCACGGCUUCCUCUGCCACUUUCUCUUCUUAGUUUUCUUCAAUUUUGUUUUGAAGAUUCGUGAAAUUAUUACUAGCUUUUGAUAGAUUUUUGUUUUUGAUCGAUUUGUGGGUUUGAUUGAUUUCUCAGAUUUGAUUGGUUUCUGGGUUUUGAUUGCUACCCAUUUGUUUUCAAUUUAUCUGCUAUUUUUCCUUUUAUGAAUUGAUUGAUAAGUUUUUGUAAGUUGAAGUGAUUUUUUUCCUCAUUCCUUGCUUUCGUUUUGCUAGAAAUUUGAUGUUAUCAUAUUUUGGUUUAAUCUUUAUCCAAAACUUCCCGAUUUUCUUACAGUUCCACUACGAGAUAUUGAGAACUGCAAGAGUUGCAAGAGCCACUAAAUCUGCAGGUUUCUCUCAACUGGCAGACAAGGAAACAAUACGAGGACCACAAAAAGUCACCAUGAGGUAUUGGAAUCCUUGAUUUUCAAUUUGUCAAUCGGGAAGGCCAAAUGGCAUUGGCUUUUGCAGUUUAUUCUGGCGUAUUAUCUUGGUGUUAUUGUGGUCAUUUAUGAUGUUUUAUUGACUGAAAUUAAUGGAUGGGUUAAUUGGUAUCUUGUGGGAUGCAUUAGAACUAUUUUCAGUUGAAAAUUUGUGUAUAUUUUCAGUUGGGGAAGUUGAACCUAGUACUGCUUUUCUAGUAAUUUUUCUCUAAUUUUCAGCUUUUGGGUUGUUCUUGGUUGUGUUGUUUGUCAAGUACUGCUUUUCUGGUAAUUUUUCUCUAAUUUUCAGCUUUUUGGGUUGUUCUUGGUUGUGUUGUUUGUGGUUGAUUUGCUUCUGCACUGGCUUUUUUUUUCUUCUGGUUUUCUGCAUCUGGGUUCUCUAGCUAGGCAUUUUCUUGUGCCUGGUUCGUGCGAAAAAUCGAAGCUUGAGCAAUUUUAUGUAGAACUUUGUUUGCUCAAGCUGGGAGCUUGAGAUCACAAGGUUUAGUUCAUAUUUCGUUUCAAAAAUGCUAAGUGGGGUAAGUUAAGAAAUUGUUGGAGGAGAUGAAGAAUUGUUGCUUUUGUUCCCUAUUGUCUGUCAGUUGUUGAGAAUAAGAGUAUAUCAUGUCUAAAUUGGAAUGUUUGGUUUUGGUUUGCGGAGUUUGUUUUAGGACUGCGAUUUAGCAUCUAGCAUUUUUGUUCUUGAUAAUUAGAUUCACUUGCGAUGAGCCUUGCAAGUUGUGUUUACGUAUGCGAUCUCUCGUGCUCUUUUUGUUAUUCACUUUUUCAUCCCCUUUUCAUGUUGUAUAUUAUUUGGCAGUGCACAUUAUAUUAUGAAUGCCAUUGAUAAUACUCAAAGUUGUAGCUGAACUUUGGUUUUUGUUCAUCACAAUCUCAUCACAUUUUGUAUGGGGUUCAUUUCUUUCAGUUUAGGAGUUACGAGCUAAUUGCAGGGCAUUGGAGGUUGAAGUGUGGUUGGUACAAAUGAUGAGUGGAAAAUGGAUUGGAGGCAUGAUUUUCCUCCUAGUUGGCAUGUUCACCAA
rnacentral:lncRNA from 1 species